GAUGAACGCUGGCGGCGUGCCUAAUACAUGCAAGUCGAGCGAACAGACGAGGAGCUUGCUCCUCUGACGUUAGCGGCGGACGGGUGAGUACACGUGGAUAACCUACCUAUAAGACUGGGAUAACUUCGGGAAACCGGAGCUAAUACCGGAUAAUAUAUUGAACCGCAUGGUUCAAUAGUGAAAGACGGUUUUGCUGUCACUUAUAGAUGGAUCCGCGCCGCAUUAGCUAGUUGGUAAGGUAACGGCUUACCAAGGCGACGAUGCGUAGCCGACCUGAGAGGGUGAUCGGCCACACUGGAACUGAGACACGGUCCAGACUCCUACGGGAGGCAGCAGUAGGGAAUCUUCCGCAAUGGGCGAAAGCCUGACGGAGCAACGCCGCGUGAGUGAUGAAGGUCUUCGGAUCGUAAAACUCUGUUAUUAGGGAAGAACAAAUGUGUAAGUAACUAUGCACGUCUUGACGGUACCUAAUCAGAAAGCCACGGCUAACUACGUG
rnacentral:rRNA from 1 species